rnacentral:rRNA from 1 species
AGGACGAACGCUGGCGGCGUGCUUAACACAUGCAAGUCGAGCGAUGAAACACCUUCGGGUGUGAAUUAGCGGCGAACGGGUGAGGAACACGUGAGAAAUCUGCCUUCAACACUGGGAUAACUCCGGGAAACCGGGGCUAAUACCGGAUAUGAAAUCUGCGGGCAUCCGCGGAUUUGGAAAGUUUUUCGGUUGAAGAUGAUCUCGCGGCCUAUCAGCUUGUUGGUGAGGUAAUGGCUCACCAAGGCGACGACGGGUAGCCGGCCUGAGAGGGCGACCGGCCACACUGGGACUGAGACACGGCCCAGACUCCUACGGGAGGCAGCAGUGGGGAAUAUUGGGCAAUGGAGGAAACUCUGACCCAGCGACGCCGCGUGCGGGAUGAAGGCCUUCGGGUUGUAAACCGCUUUCAGCAGGGAAGAAGCGAAAGUGACGGUACCUGCAGAAGAAGCACCGGCUAACUAUGUGCCAGCAGCCGCGGUAAUACAUAGGGUGCAAGCGUUGUCCGGAAUUAUUGGGCGUAAAGAGCUCGUAGGUGGUUCGUCACGUCGGAUGUGAAACUCUGGGGCUUAACCCCAGACCUGCAUUCGAUACGGGCGAGCUUGAGUAUGGUAGGGGAGUCUGGAAUUCCUGGUGUAGCGGUGGAAUGCGCAGAUAUCANGAGGAACACCAAUGGCGAAGCAGGACUCUGGGCCAUUACUGACACUGAGGAGCGAAAGCGUGGGGAGCGAACAGGAUUAGAUACCCUGGUAGUCCACGCCGUA